rnacentral:rRNA from 1 species
UACGUAGGGUGCGAGCGUUGUCCGGAUUUAUUGGGCGUAAAGAGCUCGUAGGCGGUCUGUCGCGUCGGAUGUGAAAACCCAGGGCUCAACCCUGGGCCUGCAUUCGAUACGGGCAGACUAGAGUGUGGCAGGGGAGACUGGAAUUCCUGGUGUAGCGGUGAAAUGCGCAGAUAUCAGGAGGAACACCGGUGGCGAAGGCGGGUCUCUGGGCCGAUACUGACACUGAGGAGCGAAAGCGUGGGGAGCGAACAGG